GUGCCAGCCGCCGCGGUCAUACGGAGGGGGUUAGCGUUGUUCGGAAUUACUGGGCGUAAAGCGCGCGUAGGCGGAUUGGAAAGUAUGGGGUGAAAUCCCAGGGCUCAACCCUGGAACUGCCUCAUAAACUCCCAGUCUUGAGUUCGAGAGAGGUGAGUGGAAUUCCGAGUGUAGAGGUGAAAUUCGUAGAUAUUCGGAAGAACACCAGUGGCGAAGGCGGCUCACUGGCUCGAUACUGACGCUGAGGUGCGAAAGUGUGGGUAGCAAACAGGAUUAGAUACCCGUGUAGUCC
rnacentral:rRNA from 1 species